GUGCUCGCUUCAGCAGCACAUAUACUAAAAUUGGAACGAUACAGAGAAGAUUAGUAUGGCCCCUGCACAAGGGGGACACACAAAUUUGUGAAAUGUUCCAUAUUUUU
ensembl:snRNA U6 U6 spliceosomal RNA